AGUCGACUAGAGUUUGAUCCUGGCUCAGGAUGAACGCUAGCGGCAGGCCUAACACAUGCAAGUCGAGGGGGAAGUUACUUUCGGGUAACUGAGACCGGCGUACGGGUGCGUAACGCGUAUACAAUCUGCCUUUCACUGGGGGAUAGCCCGAAGAAAUUUGGAUUAAUACCCCAUAGUAUAGUAAUACGGCAUCGUGAUACUAUUAAAGCCUUGGUGGUGAAAGAUGAGUAUGCGUUCUAUUAGCUAGUUGGAGAGGUAACGGCUCCCCAAGGCGACGAUAGAUAGGGGUUCUGAGAGGGAUGUCCCCCACACUGGUACUGAGAUACGGACCAGACUCCUACGGGAGGCAGCAGUGAGGAAUAUUGGACAAUGGUCGGAAGACUGAUCCAGCCAUGCCGCGUGCAGGAUGACGGCCUUAUGGGUUGUAAACUGCUUUUGUAAGGGAAGAAUAAGGGCUACGCGUAGUUUGAUGACGGUACCUUACGAAUAAGCAUCGGCUAACUCC
rnacentral:rRNA from 1 species